rnacentral:rRNA from 1 species
GCACGCAGACUUCGGUCUGAGUGGCAGACGGCUGAGUAACGCGUGAGGUGACAUGCCCAUUGGUGGGGAAUAACUGCCCGAAAGGGUGGCUAAUACCGCAUACGUCUACAGGAGCAUACCUGUAGGGAAAGUCGCAAGACGCCGAUGGAGUGGCCCGCGUACGAUUAGCCAGUUGGUGGGGUAACGGCCUGCCAAAGCGACGAUCGGUAGCUGGUCUCAGAGGAUGAUCAGCCAGACUGGGACUGAGACACGGCCCAGACUCCUACGGGAGGCAGCAGUUAGGAAUUUUGGGCAAUGGGCGCAAGCCUGACCCAGCAACGCCGCGUGGGUGACGAAGGCCUUCGGGUUGUAAAGCCCUUUUCUCAGGGAAGAUUGUGACGGUACCUGAGGAAGAAGCACCGGCUAACUACGUGCCAGCAGCCGCGGUAAU